rnacentral:snRNA from 1 species
AAGUGUUACAGCUCUUUUAGAAUUUGUCUAGUAGGUCUUCUGGCUUUUGCAGGAAUGCCCUU